rnacentral:lncRNA from 1 species
UGCCCAGCCUCAGUGUUUUAACAUGCUAGGAAAUCACCUAUCUUGACAGCACGGUGAGUACUUGACAUCUAUUUCACAAAUAACACAGGCCACAACCAAGAGUCCCUCCACCUUAGCAGAGCUGUUGGUGAAUUUGCCUGCUCAUAUCUUCACUUCACUUAUAGCCCCUAAAAGUACAAGUAUGUGAAAGGUUCUGUUCAGGUAACAAAUGACUGAACCAGAGAUGGGUUUUUGACCUUGGUGGACAGUGAAGAAACUGGCUCGAUCCGAUGGUCUGAGCUGAGAUUCAGACUAUGAUAAGAUGGAGGUGGAUGACUGAACGGAGCCUCAUUUCCAGUCAAAACCGAGAGAGUCCUGAUGGCGAAGUGACGAACAAGCAGAAGAAGGAAGCAGACAGAUGAGAAAGUGGAUAGCGGGGAGGAGUGGCGAGAGCAGCGUUGGUGCCUUCCCAGUUCUCAGGAGAUCCCGUCGUCCUUCCUCCAUUGCUUCCUAUGAGACCUGCAAGCAAAGAUGGCCAGUGAUCGGACCAAGAGCCCACUCUAAGCUUCAUUGCCCCCUCAUUAUAAUACAUUUCCACACUAAGAUCUCCACCCAGAGGGCAGAUCUCAUACAUUUGAAAGCACAUUUAGACAUGCGUAACUUCAUACCAGCACAGUCACUAAACUCCACUUUGUCCACAGACUAUCUUCUUUAAACAAAAACAAAAACAAAAACAAAAAACAGGGAAUGGUCAAUGACAUUCC